UACAGAGGGGGCAAGCGUUGUUCGGAAUUACUGGGCGUAAAGGGCGCGUAGGCGGCCUUCUAAGUCGAACGUGAAAUCCCCGGGCUCAACCCGGGAACUGCGUCCGAUACUGGAAGGCUUGAAUCCGGGAGAGGGAUGCGGAAUUCCAGGUGUAGCGGUGAAAUGCGUAGAUAUCUGGAGGAACACCGGUGGCGAAGGCGGCAUCCUGGACCGGCAUUGACGCUGAGGCGCGAAAGCCAGGGAGCAAAGCAGG
rnacentral:rRNA from 1 species